CCCCGUGUGCCGCCGCCGGGCCUGGCCGCGCGGGGUGCGCGGACUCUGCGGGGCUCCGCGACCCCCGCGCCCGCCACUUCUGCUCGCCCUGGGAGAGCCCGGCCGCCGGUGGGUCCUGCCCGGCAGCCGAGGCUGGGCGUGAUGGUGCAGGAACGGGACUGGCGUGCAGAGCUCUGGAGCUGGUGGAGAAAGGCAGCGGGCGCAGAAGAUCACCUCGUGUGGCGUUGUUAGUGAGGAGGCGGUGUCUCCGGGGAGAAAGGCGAAAGCGUUCGGUCACCACGGUGUGACAGUCAUCGGUAAAACUGCAUUUUCCGACGGGAAUGGGAAAGUUUGGUGGUCAUCCCAGAUACCUAGGAGACUGCUUAAACCUGUGGAAUGAUGCUUGUGUUCUUUUACACUGCAGGACUCUAUAUGAUAAGCAUAAAUAAGUGGAAGAUGAAGACUUCUUAUGGACUGGUCUUGUACUUGAAAUUAAUUUCGCUAGCAAUGAAAACCAUAAAAAUUUUUUUCCAGUGAAAACUGUAUUUUCUGAAUUUUCAAUUUUUCUUUGCCUGUAGCCAUAUUUUAUUAAUGUCACUUCUCCUCCCCCUUCCCCUUCCCCAGUUCUGUACACUUUAAAGGAUAUUGUUUUAGUUAAAUAUUUCCACCAAAUGUCUCAUUCUAUAGGAUUGAAAAAUACAGUUUUCUAAAUACACAGUAAAUACUGUGAAAUUGUGCAUUUCA